CCUGUUUACAAGAGUUUUAGAUUGCAUUUCUCUGGAAUGACCACAGCAAUAUUUCCAGCCCUUGAUGAUCUUCUAGAACUUUGCCACUUCCCUGCAUCAAGAGGUAUAACCUCAUCCUGGAGCAGGGCACCCUAUCGUCAGAUGGUAUCAUCUUUAAGGGGUUGUCUCAGCCAUGCCUUUAGAAUUACCUUUCAUUGCUUGUCAUGCUGGAAGCUUCUGAAUGUUGCAUUUUGUGAUAGAAACAGUGGGUACCAUGGUCAUGUGCUCACAUCUCCUUUGCGGUAAAGAAAAGGAUCACUCAUUAACAUCCACCAGAUAACAUUCUCCAUGAAAGCACCAAAUAAGGUUUGUCUUGGUCCAUUUUAUGCUGCUAUAACAGAACACCACAGACUGAGAAAUUUAUAAGGAAUAGAAGUUUAUUUGCCUCAUGUUUCUGGAGGCUGGGAAUUCCAAGAUCAAGGGGCUGCAUAGAUUGAGGUCCUUUUUGCUGACUCAUAACGUGGAAAGAGAGUGCACUGCAUAGAAGAAAGGAGGCCAAACUCAUUCUUUUAUCAUGAGCCUACUCCUGAAAUAACUCACUCUCAAGAUAAUGGCAUUAAUCCAUUCAUGAAGGCAGAAUACUCAUGAUGUAAUCACCUCUUAAAAGGUCCUAUUUCCUAACACUGUUGCAUUAGGGAUUAAGCUGUCAACACAUGAAUAUUGGGGGACACAUUCAAACCAUAGCAAGAGUUCUUUGUCUUUGUGACUCGGUGUGGUUCAGCAAAUUGCGAUUGGUCUGCUAUAGCGGACUUUCCCCUCACCUCCCAAAUGUUUAUUAUGAAAAAUUUCAUUUUAAAGAAAGGUGGAAGGAAUUGUUGAAAGAAUAUGUCAUCUAGUUUCUACUGUUGUUAACAUUGUGUCAUAUUUGCCUUUUCAUCCAUCCAACCACCCAUCCAUCUAGCUACCUUAUAAUUACUAUUAUUACUUAUUAUUACUAUUAUUUUUAAAGACACCUCUAUUAAAGCAACCAUCUUAUUUUUUGAUUUUAUUUAUUUUCAAAGUUAGUUGCAGACAUUAGUAUACUUUACUCCUAGACAUUUUAGCGUGAACAUAAUUAACUGGAGUAUAAUACUUGUUUUCAAUUUCUUUUUAUUUUUGAGGUAAAAUUUACAUACAGUGAAAUCCAAAUCUUAAGUGUACCACUAGAUAAAUUUUGAUAAAUGCAUUAUGCCUGGUCUUCACACACCCUUUUCAAUAUAUAGAAAAUUUCCAGAUAAUUUAUUUUGUUGUUUUUUUCACACACUAAGUUCUAGACUUUUCCAGGUCCGAGGGAACUAUUAGGGGGGAAAGUACUUGUUAUAGUAAAAAAGAUUUUAGGUGUGUUUGUUUUUAAGGUGCAGAAACACAUCGCAGAUUAAGGUCUGCAUCUCUGCUUUUUGUUAUUGUUCCAGUUUGAUCUCAGUGACAUUACAAGCAAGCAGAAACACUCAGACAUGAAAUGGCCAGUGCCUGUGAGUUAAGAGCAGGAUCUAGGUCUAUUUUUUUGAUAUGUAUCUCAACUACCUGGAAUACUUUAUACUUUUGGCACUCAAUAAAUAUUUGUUGCUGCCAGACGAUCUGCC
rnacentral:lncRNA from 1 species